rnacentral:rRNA from 1 species
UACAGAGGGAGCUAGCGUUGUUCGGAAUUACUGGGCGUAAAGCGCGCGUAGGCGGCUUUGCAAGUCGGGUGUGAAAUCCCCAGGCUUAACCUGGGAACUGCAUUCGAGACUGCAUUGCUAGAGUAUGGGAGAGGGAAGUGGAAUUUCCGGUGUAGCGGUGAAAUGCGUAGAUAUCGGAAGGAACAUCAGUGGCGAAAGCGACUUCCUGGACCAAUACUGACGCUCAUGUGCGAAAGCGUGGGAGCAAACAGG